GGGCCCGCACAAGCGGUGGAGCAUGUGGUUCAAUUCGACGCAACGCGAAGAACCUUACCCAGGCUUGAAGAGCGAGUGACCAUCGGCGAAAGUCGACUUCCGCAAGGACACUCGUAGAGGUGCUGCAUGGCUGUCGUCAGCUCGUGUCGUGAGAUGUUGGGUUAAGUCCCGCAACGAGCGCAACCCUUGUUUGCUGUUGCCAUCACGUGAUGGUGGGCACUCUGCAAAGACUGCCGGUGAUAAACCGGAGGAAGGUGGGGAUGACGUCAAGUCAGCAUGGCCUUUAUGUCUGGGGCUACACACGUGCUACAAUGGCCGAUACAAACCGUCGCGAUACCGCAAGGUGGAGCUAAUCGGAGAAAGUCGGUCUCAGUUCGGAUAGCAGGCUGCAACUCGCCUGCUUGAAGUUGGAAUCGCUAGUAAUCGCGGAUCAGCACGCCGCGGUGAAUACGUUCCCGGGCCUU
rnacentral:rRNA from 1 species